rnacentral:rRNA from 1 species
GAAACGAACGCUAAUACCGCAUAAUGUCAGAGGACGGCAUCGUCUUUUGACCAAAGAUUUAUCGCUGAAAGAUGGGCUCGCGGCCGAUUAGGUAGUUGGUGAGAUAAUAGCCCACCAAGCCGACGAUCGGUAGCCGGACUGAGAGGUUGAACGGCCACAUUGGGACUGAGACACGGCCCAGACUCCUACGGGAGGCAGCAGUGGGGGAUAUUGCACAAUGGGGGAAACCCUGAUGCAGCGACGCCGCGUGAGGGAAGACGGCCUUCGGGUUGUAAACCUCUGUCUUCGGGGACGAAUAAUGACGGUACCCGAGGAGGAAGCCACGGCUAACUACGUGCCAGCAGCCGCGGUAAUACGUAGGUGGCAAGCGUUGUCCGGAAUUACUGGGUGUAAAGGGAGCGUAGGCGGGGAGGCAAGUUGAAUGUCUAAACUAUCGGCUCAACUGGUAGUCGCGUUCAAAACUGCCACUCUUGAGUGCAGUAGAGGUAGGCGGAAUUCCUAGUGUAGCGGUGAAACGCGUAGAUAUUAGGAGGAACACCAGUGGCGAAGGCGGCCUACUGGGCUGUAACUGACGCUGAGGCUCGAAAGCGUGGGUAGCAAACAGGAUUAGAUACCCUGGUAGUCCACGCCGUAAACGAUAAUUGGUAGGUGUGGGGGGACUGACCCCUUCCGUGCC